AGCCAAGAAGAGAAAGUCAGAUAAGAAUCCAAAUUCACCAAGAAGAUCCAAAUCCAUGAAACAUAAAAAUGACUGAACAGAAGAAACGAACCGGAGAAAAUUUCCACGUCAAAGAAGGCAGAGCCUCAGAGCACACCUACUCAUUAUGCAAUCGUCACGGACCAAUGGUAGUUCGAAGGCGUUUACCAGCCGGAGCAAACUUUUCCAGAAAGUUUGCUUUGGCAAGCUGUUUCGAACACCCAAAGUGAACUCCAAAUUUUGUUCGAAAUGACAUCAUACCAGUUCGUUCUUCGAUUUCGCUUGAAGUAUAUGGGGCCUGUAGUGGUCAUUCACACAGAACUUGUUUUUGCAUUGAAAAACAUGACAUUGGGAAUGGGGGGGAAAACGCAAGGACACUUUUUUUUUUUAUUAAACUUCUUUAGCUUAAUUGUCAAACACGACCAUCUAGCGCAUGUUUACGAAGAAAAACAAUGAAAAUGCAGUGGAGUGGAAUACAAAAACACACUCUGUGUUAACGGCCCCUUAAGUUGCAUUCAGCAAGUUCAAGGUCCAAUUUAAAAGGUUUACAUGCUGGUUAAAUAUGUUGUUAGUGAUAAAACAACUAUGUUGUUAGUCUUUGAGUCAUUGAAAGUUUUUGAAAAUAAUUUUAUUUAAC